ensembl:processed_transcript
CCCAGGGAAGGAUCGAAAGUGGAGAAGACCAGAUCAAGAAAGACUACAUCAAGAUCUGCGGUCAGUUCAAAGGAUGUUUUGUAUUGGACUGUUUUUUUUUACUUUGACCCCCUGACCUCACUCUUGGACUGCCCUGUUGGAUUUUCAGUUUAUUUAAUAAAUUAUUAUUUUUUUUGGUUCUGGGUAGAUGCUAAUAAAUAUUUAGUUGUAAUUAUUUAAUCAAUAUGUUUUUGUUAAAUAUGCGAUUUCUGUGUUUGUUCUGUCUACUCGUACUUGUUUAUCUUGUUUCUGUAAUUAUCAUUUGUUUAUUUGACCCUUGCCUCGUCUCUGAUCUUGUUUUUGGAUUGCCCUUUAUAUAUCUUUUUAAUUAUUGGUUCUGGUUAUAUGGUUAUAAAAUAUCUGUUAAUUUAAUUUAUAUGCAUUUUAUUAAAAAAAAAUAUAUAUAUAUAUAUAUAUAUAUAUAUAUAUAUAUAUAUAUAUAUAUAUAUAUAUAUAUAUAUAUAUAUAUAUAUUCAGUUUUUUCUGUAUCUAUUUAUCUAAUUUGUAUAUACAUUUGUGUUUGUAUGUUCUUCUUAUUCUGUAUAUCCACUUACCUAAUUUUAACUUUUAUAUAUAUUUAUUUGCAUUUAAUUUGUGAUAAUUCUGUAUGCAUUUAUUUAUCUAAUUCAUAUAUUUAUUUGUAUUGCAUUGAUCAAUCUGUUGUUGUUUUUUUUGUAUGCAUCUAUUUAUAUAAUUUAUAUAAAUUAUAUAUUUGUAUUUAUCAAUUUAUAUGCUUCCUUUAAAGCAAUUUUUUAAAUAAAGCAAUUUAAACUAA